GGUAGGAUGGCUGAGUUUUAGGCGGUAGAUUGUAAAUUUAUUCACGGGGUUUGACCUCUCAUACCA
rnacentral:tRNA from 1 species